rnacentral:rRNA from 1 species
AUUUUAAGAUGAGAGUUUGAUCCUGGCUCAGGACGAACGCUGGCGGCGUGCCUAAUACAUGCAAGUCGAACGCGUUUCCGUUAUUGAUUUUAGGUGCUUGCAUUUGAAUGAUUUAACACGAAACGAGUGGCGAACUGGUGAGUAACACGUGGGUAACCUGC